ensembl:rRNA 5S_rRNA 5S ribosomal RNA
GUCUACGGCCAUACCACCCCAAACACCCCUGAUCUCAGAAGCUAAGCAGGUUUGGGCCUGCUUAGUACCUAGUACUUGGAUGGGAGGACAUGUAGGGUAGUGGAUA